ACUGAUGUUUUGUGUAAAAGUAAAACAUUCGUAAAAAGAAAAACCACAAGAAAUAUAAAACUGACAGACAAAACAAUUCUCACUUAAAGUCCCAAGUAUAUUGGAGUAAUUUUUGUUGUGAUGUCUGGGCCUAGGCCUCAUCAUCUCAGGACCCUCGGAGCAAGAGGGCUCCUACUAAGAGAGGCUGAAUUUUUAGCCAGAGUUGGCAAGCGGCUUCAUUAAAUGUCACGCCCUUUGCUAUGUUCUUAAAAUUGGCUCCUUUCUUUAAAGUCUUAUGUCUGUUAUACAAUUUUAAAGAACCAUUUCUGAUCCAGACGGUAGAUUUAUCUCUGGGAGGGGUGGGGGUAGGACGGGCACGUGUUUAAUUGGAGGUUGUGAAGUUCGGUGAGAUGAUAUUUUUAGGUUGGAACUCUCAAAUUCAUAUAUUUGGAUAUUUCUUCCGGUCUCACUCAACCUGUUUCCCCUGGUUCACUCAACCCUGCCUCUCUUUUUCCGCUCUUUCUUGCCUCUCUCUUCCUUCUUCCCUCUACAGCGCCUCUUCUCCUUUCCUCCCGCUUCUUCUGUUUUUCGCCUCUUUCUCUCUUCCCAGCACCCUUUCUUGUAUAAUUUAUUGUCUGAUUCUAUCAGUCAAGUUCAUAUGAAACUAGCAAGUAGGAGGCCCAGCACCCUAAUCUGGUCCUCUCCCCGACGCGCAUAAGAGACUUUAGGGAGCUGUUGGUAGCUACCAGGUCACGGACCAGCGCGGUGGCCCUAGGUGCAGAGCGCGCUGCUUGUGGAGGAGUUGGGGUCCGCCUAGGGUUGCGGGGCUUAUUCAAAUGCCGCCCGCUGCUGCUGUGAUUCGCAGGGACUCGGCCUCCAUAUGACGCCUAAAGGAGCCUGUUUGUGUGCUGUGGCCACGUUCUGCUGUGACUGGAUCUUGCCUUCCGCCUGGCUCCUCGAUUUUGAUCCGACUUGAUUUGGGAACAACACUGCCUGGCAAAGAGAGAUCAAAUGAGACAGACUUCAAAGAAGCAUAAAAUGCAUAGACUAUUCAAUCAAACAAAGACCGGGGCAGCAGUACGCCAGCAAGACGGCAUCUUCUCCCCACCCUAGAAGUCCUGAGAAAUCGAGGAUCUUCCCCUAAAACAUUCACAUACAAGAUCUGUGCGAUCAAGCUGCCAGCACUUGGUACAAAGCUCAUGAUGCCUAAC